UAGGGAUGGAGAGGCAGAAACUGAUUUGACAUUUGCUUAGGAGAUACCUUCUGUGGAAGCUGGUGGCCAAGCAAAUGUGGAUUGUGCGGGAGCUGGCUCUCUAGUGUUGAUUGAAAAUCACAGUCUGAACCCUGAGUAUUUGACACGGAAUCCGAAAGGUGAAAAGGAAGGCCUGGGAGCCCAAUUAAGUUCAGGCUUGCGUAGUCCGGUGCAAAUGUCUGGCUGACCCUGCAUCUGUCAUUGCUUACAGCACAGCUUAUGAAAUGAUGGGAUCACAGUCUGACCUUCCUUCCUGACUAAAAGUCAAAUGAAGUCAAAUGACAAGACUGUGCUUAAUUUGUCCCAUGUCUUUGGGGAUAGCUACCCUCUGUGAAGCUCUGGCAGAGGAUGGCCCACAGGACAGGUGAUGGGGAAGCCACGGAUGGAGGAGGUCACCCGAGGAACAGUGACACACAAGAAGAUAUGUUCACACCAGGGUGAGGAUUUGAGAGACGAGCGAGGAAGCUCCCGCACCUUGUCACGUCGGUUUUCCACGGGUCCUGGGAAGCACAACUGUGAUGCAGUCUUCCUGCUCUGUCUGUUGAAAAAACCCACCGCUUCAUGUUGGUGUCACCCUCACCACAGCUGUGGCCUUGCGGAAUUGAGGAGGGGCCGCCUUGUGGAGUGGGAGACUGCUGCGGUUUGCUGACCCCUGCUGAUUUAUGUGACUUGCUGGCCCCUGUAGGCAUCUGAGUUUGCUGCCUGGACGCCCAAGGUGAUGUCUUAAUUUCUCAUAAAUCUUAAUAGUCACCUCCUAGCCCCCUUUGCGGAUCCUGAAUGGAUGCACAGAAAAAACAGCCCCUAGCUCCUCCUCUUCCACCUACAGACUAUUCCCAGCCAAUCAGGCCUGCGCCCCUGCCCCCAUAUCAAGUCAUCUUCUGUGAUUUGACAACAGCUUCCAGUGGAAGUGCGACCCCUGCCGCCCUGUCAACUCCACCUUCUUUUUCUAGCCCACAUCUUCCUGGUCCCCAGGGAAACCCAGCUGUACCCCACUCUGUAAUCUGACCCUGCUUUAUCUCUAGCUUAGAGCCUCUGCUCUCCUCCAUACUCCUUCCUUGCAAACGUACACAUUUUUCAAGUCCUGCCUCCCCAAGGAUGUGUUACCCAAUUUCUCUAGCUAGAUGCACCCCCUUAUCAUUUAACGUCCUAUAAUCCUUGGUUUGUACAUAUAUAAAUAUGACAUAUCCCAACAUGCUUUGGACUAUAGUCAGGUAUGUGCAUAUCUUAAGUCUGCCUCAAGAUGUGCAGUCCAGCAUUGCCCGGUGGCACAGGCUUGUAUCCUCUGGGAUACUCUGGGAGGCUGAGGCAAAAAGAUUGCAAAUUAGAGCCCAGCUUGGGCAAGGUAGCAAGGUCCUAUUCCCAAAUUAAAAAAUAACAAAUGAGCUGGUUCUGUGUUUGAGCUCCAGCACCACAGAGAAAAAGAAAGGAAGAUAAAGGUGCAGUCCAUGGCGUGGUCACCACAGUGUCACAAAACCAAACACC
rnacentral:lncRNA from 1 species